rnacentral:rRNA from 1 species
CACGGAGUUAGCCGAUCCUUAUUCUUACCGUACAUUCAGCUCCUUACACGUAAGGAAGUUUAUUCCGGUACAAAAGCAGUUUACAACCCGUAGGGCCGUCUUCCUGCACGCGGCAUGGCUGGUUCAGGCUUGCGCCCAUUGACCAAUAUUCCUUACUGCUGCCUCCCGUAGGAGUCUGGUCCGUGUCUCAGUACCAGUGUGGGGGGUCAUCCUCUCAGAUCCCCUAGACAUCGUCGCCUUGGUGGGCCGUUACCCCGCCAACUAGCUAAUGUCCCGCAUGCCCAUCUUUAUCCUAUAAAUAUUUGAUCACAAAACAAUGCCGUCUCGUGAUGUUAUGCGGUGUUAAUCUCUCUUUCGAGAGGCUAUCCCCCAGAUAAAGGUAGGUUACAUACGUGUUACGCACCCGUGCGCCACUCUCAAGAAAAGCAAGCUCUUCUAUCCCGUCCGACUUGCAUGUAUUAGGCCUGCCGCUAGCGUUCAUCCUGAGCCAGGAUCAAACUCUCUACG